rnacentral:rRNA from 1 species
UACAGAGGUCCCAAGCGUUGUUCGGAUUCAUUGGGCGUAAAGGGUGCGUAGGCGGCGCGGUAAGUCGGGUGUGAAAUCUCGGGGCUUAACUCGAAACUGCAUUCGAUACUGCCGUGCUUGAGGACUGGAGAGGAGACUGGAAUUUACGGUGUAGCGGUGAAAUGCGUAGAUAUCGUAAGGAAGACCAGUGGCGAAGGCGGGUCUCGUGGACAGUUCCUGACGCUGAGGCACGAAGGCCAGGGGAGCAAACGGG